GGAGAGUUAGUCUAAUGGUAAGGCAAUGGUUUCGAAAACCAUGGGGAGAAAUCCCUCUGCAGGUUCGAGUCCUGCACUCUCCG
rnacentral:tRNA from 1 species